AUUGAACGCUGGCGGCAUGCCUUACACAUGCAAGUCGAACGGCAGCACGGGAGCAAUCCUGGUGGCGAGUGGCGAACGGGUGAGUAAAGUAUCGGAACGUGCCCAGUCGUGGGGGAUAACGUAGCGAAAGUUACGCUAAUACCGCAUACGAUCUAUGGAUGAAAGCGGGGGAUCGCAAGACCUCGCGCGAUUGGAGCGGCCGAUAUCAGAUUAGGUAGUUGGUGGGGUAAAGGCUCACCAAGCCGACGAUCCGUAGCUGGUCUGAGAGGACGACCAGCCACACGGGGACUGAGACACCGCCCAGACUCCUACGGGAGGCAGCAGAGGGGAAUUUUAGACAGUGGGCGCAAGCCUGAUCCAGCCAUGUCGCGUGCAGGAUGAAGGCCUUCGGGUUGUAAACUGCUUGUGUACGUGACGAAAAGGUUUGACUUAAUACGUUGGACUCAUGACGGUACCGUAAGAAUAAGCACCGGCUAACUACGUGCCAGCCGCCGCAGUAA
rnacentral:rRNA from 1 species